rnacentral:lncRNA from 12 species
AGCUUUGUAUUUUAUUUUUCUGUAGUGAAAAGAUAUUAGAAACACAGAAAUACAGCAUCACUGUGAGGAAAUUCUUGACUUGUGAGAUCAUGAAGUCAAGUGGGACUUUCAACCUAGGAAGAAGAGGUAUUUGAGCAUAUUACUCUGCCUUCCUUGGAGAAGACUAGAUACCUGAGAUAUGAUGGAGAAAAUUAUGAGAGAAGACCUUAGACUUCAUGAAUGUCAAGCCUUUUCACAAACUUCCAGGAAAAGUAUCAGCCAAAGGAAGAAGGGAAGGAAGACAGCUAGAGGACCUUAAAUGAUAAGAUGCCAUUUAAAGAGCAAAUAGCAGCUCAAGCUCUGAGCAAAGUGAUCAAACUAGAGCCUCAUGCCUCAUCAUGAAUGACUGCCAGGUGGUUGACGCAGCAAGUUGGAUGACAGUUGAAUUAGUACCUUCUAAAAGCUGAUCCAAAGUUUGGCCAAACCCUGUGGGUUGUAGUUAGUGCCAGGGCUUCUUGGGAAGGUCUGUGUCAAUCCUUCUUUCCUCGAGCAGAGCAGAAAAGGGAAUAGGUAAGAGGAAUUUGACUCAUAAGUCCAGAUUCCAUGUAUAGUCAUCUCCAGAAAUGUCACAUCUUUAUAAUGCAGCUUUAAGAAAUCUAUAAUAAUGGUAAGAUAAUUUUGAGUCUCAGGCUGACAAGGAAUUUUUAAAUGAUAAUGGUGUCUGCAAAGGAUAAAUAACUGAGGACUGUAAUACAUGAUUGGUGUGUCAAUUGAUAGUAGCAUUUUGGAG